CUGCUGCCUCCCGUAGGAGUUUGGACCGUGUCUCAGUUCCAAUGUGGGGGACCUCCCUCUCAGAACCCCUACGCAUCGUCGGCUUGGUGGGCCGUUGCCCCACCAACUACCUAAUGCGCCGCAUGCCCAUCCGUGACCGGGGUCGCCCCCUUUGGCCGGCAGGGGAUGUCCCCUCCCGGCAUUAUGUUGUAUUAGGCGGGAUUUCUCCCGGUUAUCCAUCUGUCACGGCCAGGUUGCAUACGUGUUACUCACCCGUGCGCCGGUCGCCGGCGG
rnacentral:rRNA from 1 species